GCCUGAGUGGUGGAACUGGUAGACGCGCUGCGUUCAGGGCGCAGUGGGGAAAACCCCGUGGGGGUUCGACUCCCCCCUCAGGCA
rnacentral:tRNA from 1 species